AUUGAACGCUGGCGGCAGGCCUAACACAUGCAAGUCGAACGGUAACAGGAAGAAGCUUGCUUCUUUGCUGACGAGUGGCGGACGGGUGAGUAAUGUCUGUGAAACUGCCUGAUGGAGGGGGAUAACUACUGGAAACGGUAGCUAAUACCGCAUAACGUCGCAAGACCAAAGAGGGGGACCUUCGGGCCUCUUGCCAUCGGAUGUGCCCAGAUGGGAUUAGCUAGUAGGUGGGGUAACGGCUCACCUAGGCGACGAUCCCUAGCUGGUCUGAGAGGAUGACCAGCCACACUGGAACUGAGACACGGUCCAGACUCCUACGGGAGGCAGCAGUGGGGAAUCUUGCACAAUGGGCGCAAGCCUGAUGCAGCCAUGCCGCGUGUAUGAAGAAGGCCUUCGGGUUGUAAAGUACUUUCAGCGGGGAGGAAGAGAGUAAAGUUAAUACCUUUGCUCAUUGACGUUACCCGCAGAAGAAGCACCGGCUAACUCCGUG
rnacentral:rRNA from 1 species